UACGAAGGGGGCUAGCGUUGCUCGGAAUCACUGGGCGUAAAGGGUGCGUAGGCGGGUCUUUAAGUCAGGGGUGAAAUCCUGGAGCUCAACUCCAGAACUGCCUUUGAUACUGAAGAUCUUGAGUGCGGGAGAGGUGAGUGGAACUGCGAGUGUAGAGGUGAAAAUUCGUAGAUAUUCGCAAGAACACCAGUGGCGAAGGCGGCUCACUGGCCCGAUACUGACGCUGAGGCACGAAAGCGUGGGGAGCAAACAGGG
rnacentral:rRNA from 1 species